UAGAUGCUGUGCACCAUACUGCACAAAAUGGGUAUUCCCAUUUAGACCAUAUGUAAAUGGACUAGCAAAUACAUAGUGGCUUCGAUGAGGAAAUGACAUGAAACCAUUUGCAGGAGCAGUCGCCCAAGAAGGUGGAGUUUGAUAAUAGUAAUCCGUUGCAGGGGCUUGAAACCUUGGGAAGUGUGUGCCUUGACUGGGGAUUGAUGGAAGCAAGGAAUGAGGUCGCAUG
rnacentral:lncRNA from 1 species